rnacentral:rRNA from 1 species
GCCCUCCUACGGGGCGCAGCAGUGGGGGAUAUUGCACAAUGGGGGGAACCCUGAUGCAGCGACGCCGCGUGGGCGAUGGAGUGCCUCGGCGCGUAAAGCCCUCUCAGCAGGGAAGAAAAUGACGGUACCUGACUAAGAAGCCCCGGCUAAAUACGUGCCAGCAGCCGCGGUAAUACGUAUGGGGCAAGCGUUAUCCGGAUUUACUGGGUGUAAAGGGAGCGCAGGCGGCCUGGCAAGCCUGAUGUGAAAUACCGGGGCCCAACCCCGGGGCUGCAUUGGGAACUGCCAGGCUGGAGUGCCGGAGG